CACUUCUUCAUAUUUGUACAAAAUUCAUACAAUAUACAACAGAAAUCCAGAAGGAAAAAAAAAUCAACAUUUAACCAACAAAUAAAAUAAAGAUUCAACAUCAAUUCAUCUCUCCACUAUUCCCCUCUAUCUCAUAAUUAAUUAACAAAAACUCAAGAACGGAUUGAAAAAGAAAAACCCAGAACAUGAUUUUCAAUUUCAUUAUGGGUCUCAUAGCCACACAAACCACCACAUUAAUCUUGAAUCAUGCAUACCACCACCACCACAAUCCCUCUUAAAACUCAUCAACAUGUUCAAAGUCCAAACCUUUCAAUUCAAAUCUUGACUCACCACUUCUUGAAAAAAAUUGAAACUGAUUUUGUUUUUUGAAUCAGCAAAAUUGAAACUGAUUGAAUUCAAUUGAGGUUGUUGUUGGAGAAUGUUUAAUCCGAUAAUUCCGAUGGGUGAUUUUGGUGCUGGUUUUUAUCCUUUGGUUUGCAGCUGCCUUGUGUUGUAUUCUCUACCGUGUUGUUGUUUAGGUGGGGUUUUAUUUUGAAGCUUUUGGGAAAGUUCACAACUGCCAUAGCUCUGUUGUUAGUUUGGCAGCGUGUUGUAG
rnacentral:lncRNA from 1 species